UCGGGUUGAAGAUGCUUGGCCGCAUGUGGAAUUUGUAGCAGUAGUAUUCUCUCAUGGUUACCCACAUUCUACUGCUUGAAUCUGCAUAGAACAUGAAUAAUUAAAAGUUUGUGGCAUAUGUUAUAAUGUAUCACAAUUCAUAAACCAAAAGACAAUGAAAACAAUAAUAUUUAGAAUAAUAACCUGGGUUGUUUUCAUAAUUACUAUGAUUAGCAAGAGCUUUUGUCACAUCUUCCAUAGUAAUUCCGAUCUUUGGUAUAUCGGCAUAACAACCUAGUUCACCUCUUGGAAAGAAUAGAGGAUAAGACAACGGAUCGUAGCAACCAUGGUAUGACCGGAUGCUAUCUCGUUGUUGUUUCCUACAUUCUUGUCAAAAUUCUUCCUCUGUUCAUUUCCUUCAACCCAAACUGCAGCUACCUUUGAAGUUAUUGGUGCGUUGUAUGUCCAAUCUUUGGUCAAGGUUCAGCAUCACUCGGUAGUCUUCAAGGUUUUCUUCCCGUCCC
rnacentral:lncRNA from 1 species